UAAUUACUUUUUAUUUACAUUUAUAUUUAUAUUUGUAUAUAAUUAAAUGAAAAAUGACUAUAAAAAAAAUUCAAGUUUGCAUAGGUAGAUAAAAUGGUUUUUAGACUUUUGCUUUUUAUUUAUUUUUUAUGUAUAAAUUCUAAAUGGAGAUGGAUAAAUUCUAAACGUAGGACGACAAAAAGUAGGCUGAGUAUAGAAAAG